rnacentral:rRNA from 1 species
ACCCUAUGGAGCUUUAGACGUCAGAUCAGGCCAUGUAAAGCACCCCUUAACAAAGGAAAAAACCAAAUGAAGCCUGCCCUAAUGUCUUUGGUUGGGGCGACCGCGGGGAAAUACAAAACCCCCAUGUGGAGUAGGAAUACACAUUCCUAAACCCAAGAGCUCCCGCUCUAAUGAACAGAAAUUCUGACCAAUAAGAUCCGGCACACGCCGAUCAACGGACCGAGUUACCCUAGGGAUAACAGCGCAAUCCCCUUAAAGAGCCCUUAUCGACAAGGGGGUUUACGACCUCGAUGUUGGAUCAGGACAUCCUAAUGGUGCAGCCGCUAUUAAGGGUUCGUUUGUUCAACGAU